rnacentral:rRNA from 1 species
AGAGUUUGAUCAUGGCUCAGAACGUACGCUGGCGGCACGCCUAAUACAUGCAAGUCGAACGAAGUAGCAAUACUUAGUGGCAGACGGGUGAGUAAUAUGUAGGUAUCUUCCCAUUGGUGAGGAAUAACACGAGGAAACUUGUGCUAAUACCUCAUAAGUCUUUACGGAGAAAGCUUUAUGCGCCGAUGGAUGAGCCUGCACUUGAUUAGUUUGUUGGUAGGGUAAUGGCCUACCAAGACAAUGAUCAAUAGCUGAUUUGAGAGGAUGAUCAGCCACAUUGGGACUGAGACACGGCCCAAACUCCUACGGGAGGCAGCAGUAGGGAAUCUUGCACAAUGGGGGAAACCCUGAUGCAGCGAUGCCGCGUGAGUGAAGAAGGCCUUUGGGUUGUAAAGCUCUUUCGUCGGGGAAGAAAAUGACUGUACCCGAAUAAGAAGGUCCGGCUAACUUCGUGCCAGCAGCCGCGGUAAUACGAAGGGACCUAGCGUAGUUCGGAAUUACUGGGCUUAAAGAGUUCGUAGGUGGUUAAAAAAGUUGGUGGUGAAAUCCCAGAGCUUAACUCUGGAACUGCCAUUAAAACUUUUCAGCUAGAGUAUGAUAGAGGAAAGCAGAAUUUCUAGUGUAGAGGUGAAAUUCGUAGAUAUUAGAAAGAAUACCAAUUGCGAAGGCAGCUUUCUGGAUCAUUACUGACACUGAGGAACGAAAGCAUGGGUAGCGAAGAGGAUUAGAUACCCUCGUAGUCCAUGCCGUAAACGAUGUGUGUUAGACGUUGGAAAUUUAUUUUCAGUGUCGCAGCGAAAGCGAUAAACACACCGCCUGGGGAGUACGACCGCAAGGUUAAAACUCAAAUGAAUUGACGGGGACCCGCACAAGUAGUGGAGCAUGUGGUUUAAUUCGAAGAUACGCGCAGAACCUUACCAACACUUGACAUGUUCGUCGCGACUCUAAGAGAUUAGAGUUUUCGGUACGGCCGGACGAAACACAGGUGCUGCAUGGCUGUCGUCAGCUCGUGUCGUGAGAUGUUGGGUUAAGUCCCGCAACGAGCGCAACCCUCACUUUUAGUUGCCAUCAUUAAGUUGGGCACUCUGAAAGAACUGCCAGUGAUAAGCUGGAGGAAGGUGGGGAUGACGUCAAGUCCUCAUGGCCCUUACGUGUUGGGCUACACACGUGCUACAAUGGUAUCUACAACAGGAAGCAAGACUGCGAGGUCAAGCAAAUCCUUAAAAGAUACCUCAGUUCGGAUUGCACUCUGCAACUCGAGUGCAUGAAGCUGGAAUUACUAGUAAUCGUGGAUCAGCGUGCCACGGUGAAUGCGUUCCCGGGUCUUGUACACACCGCCCGUCACACCAUGGGAGUUGGUUCUACCUUAAGGCAAGGUUUAAAACCCUUGACCACGGUAUAGUCAGCGACUGGGGUGAAGUCGUAACAAGGUAACCGUA